rnacentral:rRNA from 1 species
ACGAACGCUGGCGGCGUGCUUAACACAUGCAAGUCGAACGGAAAGGCCCUGCUUUUGUGGGGCGCUCGAGUGGCGAACGGGUGAGUAACACGUGAGUAACCUGCCCUUGACUUUGGGAUAACUUCAGGAAACUGGGGCUAAUACCGGAUAGGAGCUCCUGCUGCAUGGUGGGGGUUGGAAAGUUUCGGCGGUUGGGGAUGGACUCGCGGCUUAUCAGCUUGUUGGUGGGGUAGUGGCUUACCAAGGCUUUGACGGGUAGCCGGCCUGAGAGGGUGACCGGCCACAUUGGGACUGAGAUACGGCCCAGACUCCUACGGGAGGCAGCAGUGGGGAAUAUUGCACAAUGGGCGGAAGCCUGAUGCAACAACGCCGCGUGCGGGAUGACGGCCUUCGGGUUGUAAACCGCUUUCGCCUGUGACGAAGCGUGAGUGACGGUAAUGGGUAAAGAAGCACCGGCUAACUACGUG